CAAAGGUUUGGUCCUGACUUUCCCAUCUGCUUUAGAUAUAUUUAUACAUGCAAGUAUCUGCCCCCCUGUGAAAAUGCCCCUCCCUCCCUGAAGGAGUUAGGGAGCUGGUAUCAGGCACACUCCAAGUAGCCCAUAACACCUUGCUAAGCCACACCCCCAAGGGUAUUCAGCAGUGAUUAAUAUUAAGCAAUAAGUGUAAACUUGACUUAGUAAUGACUAAUAAAGGCCGGUAAAAUUCGUGCCAGCAACCGCGGUUAUACGAAAGGCCUAAGUUGAUGAACUACGGCGUAAAGAGUGGUUAGGGUGACAUAUUACUAAAGUUAAACCUCCUCUCAGCCGUUUCAAGCUUAUGAGGAUGAGAGAUACGUCCACGAAAGUGACUUUACAAACCUGAUUCCACGAAAGCUAGGAUACAAACUGGGAUUAGAUACCCCACUAUGCCUAGUCGUAAACAAUGAUAUAAUAACAUCAAAAUAUCCGCCCGGGUAUUACAAACACUAGUUUAAAACCCAAAGGACCUGGCGGUGCUUAAAACCCAUCUAGAGGAGCCUGUCCUAUAACCGAUAACCCUCGUUUAACCUCACCCCCUUUCGCAACCCCCGCCUAUAUACCGCCGUCGUCAGCUAACCCUCUUAAGGAAUAAAAGUGAGCAAGAUUGGUUUAACCCCAAACGUCAGGUCGAGGUGUAGUAUAUGAGGGGGGAAGAGAUGGGCUACAUUGAUUAAAUUAAUCAAAACGGAAAGCAAAAUGAAACCACGUUUUGAAGGAGGAUUUAGAAGUAAGCCAAAAACAGAAUGUUUUACUGAAUGCGGCCCUUAAGCGCGUACAUACCGCCCGUCACCUUCCCCAAAAAAUAUUCAAUUUAAUAAAUAAUUCACUACAUUAAUUUUACGGGGACGGAAGUCGUAACAUGGUAAGUGUACCGGAAGGUGCACUUGGUUA
rnacentral:ncRNA from 1 species